rnacentral:lncRNA from 1 species
UCAAAUUCAUUUUGCUCAAUUAUAAUAUUUCACAACAUCAUAUUCCAAUUCUUGUCAACCUUUGAGUUGUGAGUCUAAUGACUUUAAAUACAUAUACACAGGAUUCGCUCGAAAAUCGCAGCAUGAGAGUUCGACAAAGGACGAAAUCACAGCUGGUUUAGGGAAUCGUACUAGCAGGAUGGUUUUACAGAGGAAUCGAGAGUUUAACAAAACAAAUUAAGAAAGGCGUACUCGCUUGAUAUGGGGGCAAUUCUGUCCGAAAAUUUCUUUUCCUGUGUCCGCUAGUUGAACUAGCGGAUGGCGUAAUAGCAUUUUGAAUCUCAGUCCUUAAUUUAUGUAAUGUAUGGUGAAGAUGUUAUUUGUC